rnacentral:rRNA from 1 species
GGGCGUAAGGGUGCGUAGGCGGAUGUUUAAGUGGGAUGUGAAAUCCCCGGGCUUAACCUGGGGGCUGCAUUCCAAACUGGAUAUCUAGAGUGCAGGAGAGGAAAGCGGAAUUCCUAGUGUAGCGGUGAAAUGCGUAGAGAUUAGGAAGAACACCCAGUGGCGAAGGCGGCUUUCUGGACUGUAACUGACGCUGAGGCACGAAAGCGUGGGUAGCAAACAGGAUUAGAUACCCUGGUAGUCCACGCCGUAAACGAUGGAUACUAGGUGUAGGGGGUAUCAACUCCCCCUGUGCCGCAGUUAACACAAUAAGUAUCCCGCCUGGGGAGUACGGUCGCAAGAUUAAAACUCAAAGGAAUUGACGGGGGCCCGCACAAGCAGCGGAGCAUGUGGUUUAAUUCGAAGCAACGCGAAGAACCUUACCUGGACUUGACAUCCCUUGCAUAGCCUAGAGAUAGGUGAAGCCCUUCGGGGCAAGGAGACAGGUGGUGCAUGGUUGUCGUCAGCUCGUGUCGUGAGAUGUUAGGUUAAGUCCUGCAACGAGCGCAACCCUUGUUAUUAGUUGCUACCAUUAAGUUGAGCACUCUAAUGAGACUGCCUGGGUAACCAGGAGGAAGGUGGGGAUGACGUCAAAUCAUCAUGCCCCUUAUGUCCAGGGCUACACACGUGCUACAAUGGUAGGUACAAUAAGACGCAAGACCGUGAGGUGGAGCAAAACUUAUAAAACCUAUCUCAGUUCGGAUUGUAGGCUGCAACUCGCCUACAUGAAGCUGGAGUUGCUAGUAAUCGCGAAUCAGAAUGUCGCGGUGAAUACGUUCCCGGGCCUUGUACACACCGCCCGUCACACCAUGAGAGCUGGUAACACCCGAAGUCCGUGAGGUAACCGUAA